rnacentral:rRNA from 1 species
GAUCCUGGCUCAGGAUGAACGCUGGCGGCGUGCUUAACACAUGCAAGUCGAACGAAGCACUUUAUUUGAUUUCCUUCGGGACUGAUUAUUUUGUGACUGAGUGGCGGACGGGUGAGUAACGCGUGGGUAACCUGCCUUGUACAGGGGGAGUAACAGUUGGAAACGGACUGCUAAUACCGCAUAAGCGCACGGCAUCGCAUGAUGCAGUGUGAAAAACUCCGGUGGUAUAAGAUGGACCCGCGUUGG